GACUCCUACGGGAGGCAGCAGUGGGGAAUAUUGCACAAUGGGCGCAAGCCUGAUGCAGCAACGCCGUGUGAGUGAAGAAGGUUUUCGGAUCGUAAAACUCUGUCCUAAGGGAAGAAACAAAUGACGGUACCUUAGGAGGAAGCCCCGGCUAACUACGUGCCAGCAGCCGCGGUAAUACGUAGGGGGCAAGCGUUAUCCGGAAUCACUGGGCGUAAAGGGUGCGUAGGCGGCUUAGCAAGCCAGGGGUGAAAGGCAUUGGCUCAACCAAUGUAAGCCUUUGGAACUGUUAAGCUUGAGUGCAGGAGAGGUAAGUGGAAUUCCUAGUGUAGAGGUGAAAUUCGUAGAUAUUAGGAGGAACACCAGUGGCGAAGGCGACUUACUGGACUGUAACUGACGCUGAUGCACGAAAGCGUGGGUAGCGAACAGGAUUAGAUACCCUGGUGG
rnacentral:rRNA from 1 species